GGAGGGAUUGGUUUCGUAACGCCCAUUGGAGAUUACAAGUCUAUAACCUUCCGAGGAAUCACAGUCCUCGCCCUUCUAGAACUGGGAACAAUUGGAACUGCAUACCCCUGGUCAUGUGACAUAGGAUUCGAACCUGGGUUAUCGCUAUCAUUCCAUGAUUCAUGUGGCAAAGUAUUCAAAUCUGGGUUGUCAUGAUCAUUUUGUGAUUCAUCAGACAACACAUCCAGCCAACUAACUCUUGGUUUACCAAUAUACUGCUUCAAGUGAUCAACAUGGCAGACUUUAAUGGCACCGUCCUGACUCAAUUGAAUUUUGGGCACCAGGUGGCGGACCAACCAUUACAUCAAUGGGCAGAUCUAUAUCUCGGCCUAACAUGACUUUGUUCGGAGUGCAACCAGUACUGCUAUGCUGUGUAGCACGAUAGGCAGCCAUAACAUAGGGAAGAUGAUCAUCCCAGUCAUCCUGAUUUUCAUUAACAAACAUCUUCAACAUUGAAAUCACCGUACGGUUACACCGUUCAAUCAUGCCAUCAGACUUCGGAUUGUAAGCACACGUUCGAGUCUUUUCACUGCCCACGAGUUCACACAAGGAGGAAAAUAGCCUAGAUUCAAAGUUCCUGCCCUGAUCAGUGUGUAUCUGAGAAGGAAAACCAAAUAACAAGAACACCUGAGUAACCAAGAUGUCUGCUACUGUGAAUGCAGUCUGAUUUGGCAUUGCAAAAGCCAUUUUCCAUUUACUAAAAUAGUCUCCACAAACCAGAAUAUACUCGUUCCCAUUUUUGCUUUGUUUUAAGGGACCUACUAUGUCAAGUGCGAAAAUCUGCAUUACUCGAGUGGGUUUUAUUUGUGAAAGUUCAUGUUUCCCUAACCCUGGGCCAGGCUUGCCACGAGCACAGAAAUCACAUUGUUUAAUCCACAGAGCAACAUCAUCAUUCAUUCCCGGCCAGAAAAAGCGGCGCUUAAUGGCUUCAAGAGUUCUGUCCCUUCCUAAGUGCCCAGCAUAUCUUUGUGAAUGUAAUUCAGUGAAAAUAAUGUUUCUAAUCUCCUGUGGAGCAACAAGAACAAGUACAGAAUUCCCGGAAGAUUCAACAUGCCUGUAAUACAACACAGAAUUCUCGAUAACCAACAUCUCCCAGCAAUGCCACAGCUUGACAACAUUCGGCUCGGGAAAAGUCAACUCCGACCUUUCAGGUUUACCCUGAUGAACAGAUUUUAAAUGCAAAAUUUCGGAAAUGACUUUGUCUGAACUUUGUAGCUUAUGUAUUUGAUCAGUUGACCAAUUUGUUAUCCAGUUAGGCAUGCAUUUAUCUGUUAAAUCUACAUUUACGUCUGUAUCCCCUUUCCCCAUAUCUGAUAUUAUAUUUGUGAAAUUCA